UUCUCAAUGCUUUCCUAUGGACGCUGGCGUCUUCUCACUGUGAAAAUCACAGUGAGAAGCGCGGAAGCGCCACUAGAGGCUGGCUUAACCCUACUGUAAACAUAGCAGUUUCUCUGAAACUGCUAUGUUUACAGCAGAAAGGCUUAAUCCUAGAUGGACCUGGCACCCAGACCACUUAAUUGAGCUGAAGUGGUCUGGGUGCCUAGAGUGGUCCUUGAAGGUAAAAAAUAUAUUG